rnacentral:tRNA from 3 species
GCCGAGGUGGCGAAACUGGUAGACGCGCCAGACUCAAAAUCUGGUUUCCGCAAGGAAGUGUGGGUUCGAUUCCCUCCCUCGGUACCA